ACGAACGCUGGCGGCGUGCUUAACACAUGCCAGUCGAACGGUGAAGCGCCUUCCUUUUUGGUGGGUGUGGAUGAGUGGCGAACGGGUGAGUAACACGUGAGUAACCUGCCCCCUUCUUCUGGAUAACCGCAUGAAAGUGUGGCUAAUACGGGAUAUUCUGGGUCUGUCGCAUGAUGGGUCUGGGAAAGAUAUUGUUUCGGUGGGGGAUGGGCUCGCGGCCUAUCAGCUUGUUGGUGGGGUGAUGGCCUACCAAGGCGGUGACGGGUAGCCGGCCGGAGAAGGUGAACGGCCCCAGUGGAGCUGGGGCACGGGCCAAAGUGCGACGGGAGGCAGCAGUGGGGAAGAUUGCACAAUGGGGGAAAGCCUGAGGCAGCGACGCCGCGGGAACGGAGAAGGGAUUCGUAUCGGAAAGUUCUGUCCUAUGGGAAGAUAAGGACAGUACCAUAGAAGAAAGCGCCGGCUAGAUACGUG
rnacentral:rRNA from 1 species